rnacentral:lncRNA from 1 species
AGGCUCUUUCCCUACUAAUAUGCGGAUUCUCCUUAUGCUAUUGCUAUGGUGGUAUACGCCAUGGGCUGGGAACAACGGUAAACGUAAGGCCUUGUUGACUUUACGAAAGUAGGCUAGGCUUGCUGCGGAAGAGAAAGUGGACUCCCUCGACCAGAUAGGAAAAGACUCGCUUUUUGGAAAAGGAUGGUCUGCUCUACAUCAAGGGGAAUAAUCUUUUUGUCCCAAGGUAGGAUAACAUACGUAGGGACUUGUUGAAGUAGUAUCACGAUACUCGCUGGACAGGGCAUCCCGGUCAGCACCGGCGUUGUUUGGCGCUCGACUGAAAAAAGGGCAGGAUGGAUGGAAAGAAGUCAAUUUAAAGCACUAAUUCUGUUCUUUGAUCGGAGGUCUCAUAGAUCUUCUUCAAUACCUUCUUACUUAAUGCUAACCGAUAAAUAGCGCUCAUCAGGGUGGUUUGCUCGGGUUAGCCAAGAAAGCCUUAGCGCGCAAAGGCAUAGAGCUCAAACACAGGCUUAGUAAGAGAUUCCAAGAG